GACGAACGCUGGCGGCGUGCUUAACACAUGCAAGUCGAACGAUGAAGCCUAGCUUGCUAAGUGGAUUAGUGGCGAACGGGUGAGUAAUACGUGAGUGACCUACCUUUGACCCUGGGAUAAGCCUGGGAAACUGGGUCUAAUACCGGAUACGACCAAUCUCUGCAUGGGGUGUUGGUGGAAAGCGUUAUGGAGUGGUUUUAGAUGGGCUCACGGCCUAUCAGCUUGUUGGUGAGGUAAUGGCUUACCAAGGCGACGACGGGUAGCCGGCCUGAGAGGGUGACCGGCCACACUGGGACUGAGACACGGCCCAGACUCCUACGGGAGGCAGCAGUAGGGAAUAUUGCACAAUGGGCGCAAGCCUGAUGCAGCGACGCCGCGUGAGGGAUGACGGCCUUCGGGUUGUAAACCUCUGUUAGCAUCGAAGAAGCGAAAGUGACGGUAGGUGCAGAGAAAGCGCCGGCUAACUACGUGCCAGCAGCCGCGGUAAUACGUAGGGCGCGAGCGUUGUCCGGAAUUAUUGGGCGUAAAGAGCUUGUAGGCGGUUGGUCGCGUCUGCUGUGAAGGCCGGGGCUUAACUCCGGUUUUGCAGUGGGUACGGGCUAACUAGAGUGCAGUAGGGGAGACUGGAAUUCCUGGUGUAGCGGUGGAAUGCACAGAUAUCAGGAGGAACACCGAUGGCGAAGGCAGGUCUCUGGGCUGUAACUGACGCUGAGAAGCGAAAGCAUGGGGAGCGAACAGGAUUAGAUACCCUGGUAGUCCAUGCCGUAAACGUUGGGCACUAGGUGUGGGGGACAUUCCACGUUUUCCGCGCCGUAGCUAACGCAUUAAGUGCCCCGCCUGGGGAGUACGGCCGCAAGGCUAAAACUCAAAGGAAUUGACGGGGGCCCGCACAAGCGGCGGAGCAUGCGGAUUAAUUCGAUGCAACGCGAAGAACCUUACCAAGGCUUGACAUGCAUUAGAUCGCGUCAGAGAUGGCGUUUCCCUUCGGGGCUGGUGUACAGGUGGUGCAUGGUUGUCGUCAGCUCGUGUCGUGAGAUGUUGGGUUAAGUCCCGCAACGAGCGCAACCCUCGUUCUAUGUUGCCAGCGGUUCGGCCGGGGACUCAUAGGAGACUGCCGGGGUUAACUCGGAGGAAGGUGGGGAUGACGUCAAAUCAUCAUGCCCCUUAUGUCUUGGGCUUCACGCAUGCUACAAUGGCCGGUACAGAGGGUUGCGAUACUGUGAGGUGGAGCUAAUCGCUUGAAAGCCGGUCGUAGUUCGGAUUGGGGUCUGCAACUCGACCCCAUGAAGUCGGGGUCGCUAGUAAUCGCAGAUCAGCAAUGCUGCGGUGAAUACGUUCCCGGGCCU
rnacentral:rRNA from 1 species